GAGAAGAUCAAGGAAUUGAGGACAAAGGAGAUCAAGAAUGGAAGAUUGGCUAUGUUGGCUGUCAUGGGUGCUUGGUUCCAACACAUUUACACUGGCACUGGUCCUAUCGACAACCUCUUUGCUCACCUUGCAGAUCCUGGUCAUGCCACCGUUUUUUCUGUAAGUGCACCCCUAAUACUUUAAACAAUAGUAGUACAUGUAAAUAAUACAGCAAGAACAAGUUGUUUUAAAUUGAGCUAACUAUUAUAAAUGGUAUGUUUCAGGCUUUCACCCCCAAGUGAGGAACACUGGUGAACAUGCUUGCCUAAUCAAGGAAGGAGCUUGAAAUAUUUGUAUUUGUCGAUGCAACCUUUGUAUCAUCACUAGAACUUGUAAUGUCUCUGAUCGUUAUGAUUUCUCAUAGAGUGCUGUUGCUAUGUAC
rnacentral:lncRNA from 1 species